CACAGGUUUGAUCAUGGCUCAGAUUGAACGCUGGCGGCAUGCUUUACACAUGCAAGUCGAACGCGAAAGUCCUUCGGGGCGAGUAGAGUGGCGGACGGGUGAGUAACGCGUGGGAAUCUACCCUAGAGCGGGGGACAACCCGGGGAAACCCGGGCUAAUACCGCAUACGUCCUACGGGAGAAAGAGGGCCUCUGCUUGCACGCUCUCACUCCAGGAUGAGCCCACGUCCGAUUAGCUAGUUGGUAGGGUAAAGGCCUACCAAGGCCACGAUCGGUAGCUGGUCUGAGAGGAUGAUCAGCCACACUGGGACUGAGACACGGCCCAGACUCCUACGGGAGGCAGCAGUGGGGAAUAUUGGACAAUGGGCGCAAGCCUGAUCCAGCAAUGCCGCGUGUGUGAAGAAGGCCUGCGGGUUGUAAAGCACUUUCAGUGGGGAAGAACAGAUUCGGGUCAAUACCCCGGAGCCCUGACGUUACCCACAGAAGAAGCACCGGCUAACUCCGUG
rnacentral:rRNA from 1 species